CACUUGGGAAUUUGCUUUCCUUGUCCAUAUACUGUUUGUAUAUCUGUUUACUCGCCUCCUGGAUAGAUGGGGAAAUGAAUUUGUCUGACCCUCCGCUUAUUCAGCAGCACAAGGGAGCAUUUGCUCAUGCAUCAGUUAUCCGAAAGAACUUCUGCUAUUGGACAUGAUUUUGAGAAUCAUGAUGAUAUUACUGCUAGUUGUUUGCUUAGUUAUCUUGUUUUUUAGGCAAUAAACUUGGUGAAACUUAUCUGCUUUUUGUGAGCGAGUAAAUUACCAGAUUGAGGAUUUCUGUUUUGA